GUGUGUGUGUGUGUAGGAUGAACAUAUGUAGAGAACACAAAAUGCUCUCAACAACACCCAAACACAACCGGCCACCAUGGCUGCCGCGGGCCGCCGCCGUCGCCGCCCCGCCGCCGCCGUCGCCUCCCCGCCUCCGCCGUCCCGCCGCUGACCGCUGCUGCCGCCGCUGUUGCAGCCGGCUGCCGCCGCUGUUUGUCGCGGUCCGCCGCCUCGUUCGACGCGUUUCGUUGGUUCGUUUACUCGCACUUGUUCGUUGAACCUCGGUGUCUCGACCGGUUAGUCAUUAACCGAGGUAUAUUUUUCUCAUCGGUAGUUAAAUAUAUUUUUUACUGUGCUCGUAUUUGUAUGUAACCGGAUCCUGUCGGAUUUCGUUUUGUUGAUCACUUGUUUUUAUUUCUGCUGCGUUUUUAUUAAUUAACUUGCUUAAUUAACUAUCUAUUAUUUUUGAACCGGGUUUUUGAUAAAUAUAAUUUUAACCGAUCACCACGGAAACCCAACAGUGGUAUCAGAGCCUUGGUUACAACAUACGAGUCGGUACCGGUCCUUUUAACCGGAAUUAGAACACAAACUUUAUUUAUUUAAAGUUUAUGAUCUAAGUAUUUUUAAGGGCACUUUUAUUUUGGUCAAUAUUUUAUUUGUUUUGCUUGACCAAAAACAUUGCCCGGUUUUAUUUUGUGAUUGUUGUGCGAUAUGUAAAUCCGGCCCGACCUUUUUUGUGGUUGUAUAUUUUAUUCGGUUUUGUAAUUAUUAUUUUUUGGCCACCGAGAUGGUUCAAAGUUGUAAUAGUUUAGUUUAUGGUUUUGGCUCGUCUUGUGGUUCAAAGUUGUAAUAGAUAGGCCCUUUUUGUCUUUGUUGUAUUUACUUGUUAAAUAUUGUUGAUACGAAGACCCGAAGCAAAUCCGAAGCAAAACCGAAUGCCAAGAGGAGUCUUGGAGUUAGUGGGAGUUGCUCAAGACAACGAGAUGCACUCAAGUCCAUCCUUGUGGUUGUUUGUGUGAUGUGACCCCGUGACCCGUUUGAUCUUGCUAUUAGGCUCUAGCAAGAUCGAACAAUUUUGGCCAUAUGGAUUUACAUAUUUAUCUUGCUAUUGUGGUUGCUUUUAUCUUAUAAAUUGUUAUAACGUAACCAACCUAAAUACCAACAUGUUUUUAAAAGGAGUUUUAAAAUAUUAAAAACAAUCACAUUAAAACAAGUUCUAAAUUGUUUUUACAACUUGUUAAAGUUUUAUUAUAAAACAAAGGUUGUUUUUGAAACAAAUAAUAACCAAUUAAGUUUUGCAAAUUAAAUUAAUUUUAUUUUCCAAAACGAUCAACUUAAUAGUUUUCUGUUAACUUAAAAUUGGUUAUUCCAAGUCGCGACAAACUUAGUUUUAUAGGUUAUCUAAAACUAAUUGUCCCGAGAGGUGUAAGGGUCCUUUUGGUUAUGUCGCAAAUUUAAUAUCUAAAUUAAAACCGACUAUAACGACCCUAUUUGGUAAAAAUUAAAAUCAAUAGUCUAUGCCAUCCUACUACUAGUAACACUUGGGGCAUAAUGCGAACCAUCAGUGUUGGAGCCACAACACAACACUUGGUGUCUAGUUUAUCCUUCCAAGGUGCAAGGGCUUCGUCGACACAUCCGACCCUUCCACAUGUGACCGUUUUAGGACGACUAUUACUUUUCUUCUCGUGUUACGUGCCCCAGCUGUCUCGAGAACAAAAGUGGCAUAGAUGAGGCCAAACUUAUCAAUGCAAGGACAAUAGGUUAUCCUCGCAGCCUCAUAAACCUUGGGAGUUGUGCUUUUCUCACAAUUGACAAUCGUUGUCAGUCCGCUUGAACCUCUUGCCAAUGUUGCGUGCUGUAACACCCCGAAAUCGGGGUUGGUAAUUAAACCGUGUUAAUAAUAAUGAACGGGUAAAAUACCGUAGGUGUUAAGUAAACCCGGUGAAUAUUAGGAUUUAAAUAAUAUAUUAAAAGGAUGAAAAAAAAUACUUUGAGAAAACAAAGUAUAUAAAGGGCCCGAGUUAACGGGACUUAAAAUAAAACGGAGUAUGAAUAAGAUAAAAUAACUAGGAAUAAAUAACCUAGUUAGUCACAAGUCUUGUAGUAAUAAAGAAAUUGGUUAAAACACACUAUAUGCAACUUGGGGAAAGUUGAGGGGCCAAAUAUGAAAAACUGGAAACUAGUUUUAAUUAAAUAAAAUCCUACACCAAAACACGCACACCAAGUGUGUGUUCUGGUCGAUACAAUCACAGGAGCCAAGGGGCUGUCAUACUCAAACCCUAACAAGCACAUAAUCAACAAAUUGAAGGGGCAAAUCAAGUCCAAAUCAAAAUCUAAGCUCAAAUUAGUGAUCACCUCCAUGAAGGGAUCAUAAGUUGACGCUCGACAAGCUAGGUAGAAGCUUGGGGAAAGAAACGGGUUAAAUGGUACAAGUACGCCGAAAAAGAGAAUAGCCGGAUGCAAGCUACUGUGUUAUGCGUCGCCUUACACCACCAAUCACCGUCAUUGUUUAUGUCGUCGCACACGUGUGGUUUUGCCGCCUUUGGUUUUGAAGACGACGCUUGAAUUCCGCCGUGAAACUGAACAUCCGGUGAACAAGGACAAGUUUUCAACAAGUACAUUUGAGACAACUAGCAGGCAUAAAUGGAAAUGUGGAUUUAAAAUUAGAACCAGUGGAACUAUUUCUUGGGUUGGCCGAUUUUUCAAGAAUCAAAAUCUUGAUAUGUGGGUAACUUCAUAGGUCGUGGAAUGCACACAUACUGACUUGACUUCCUUCAUUUCAUUUAUUAUAAGCUUUUUGGUUUUCUUUUAUUUAUUGGAUGAAGUUCAACUUAACUCUCAAAUGUAGUGUUAUGGUGGAAACCUUGGUGAGGUUCCUAAAGACAAUUACUUGGUUUAUGAUCCGAAGGAGGCUUAUUUUUUUUUAGCUUUUAUUAUGUGAAAAAUGUAGGCUUUCACAAAAUUCAAGGGAUUGGAGUAGGUUUUGUACCAGGGAACUUGUAUUAGGAGGUGCUUGAUGGAGAGGGCUUCAUUCCAGUGCGCUAAUGACAUGUGCAGGUGGGGCCAAUUCUUUUCAACCAAUCAAAUCUUUUGCUCUUUAUUUAUUUGAUAUUGCAACAUGACAGGUCAUGCGUGUCGGUGGUAGCUGGUCAAAACCAGUCGUUUUGGUAUAGUCAAAACAAGUAGGGUCGGACUCUAAUGUAAUGGCUACAUUGUUGGUUUGUGUAGUAACCAAAUGUGUAGUUGUUGAAUUAGUGCGAAAGAAGCUAUGAGGGUUUUAUACAGCAGAUGAAUGCGUUUUGUGCCCCGAUUGCGACCACAAACGUGGUCUCUACAAUUCUUGCAAUGGUUAGAUGGGGACCAUGCAAAUGCACAUCUCAAUUCUACACAUAUCUAUUUGUAAUUGCCCUCAAUAAUUCUACAAAGUCAUGAAAAAUUGUUAGCAGGCAAGAGAUGCAAAGAUUUAGCUGAAUUCAUUGAAGGAGUUUCACUUAUGAUGCAUAUCAAAUGACUGAGUCUCAACCCGAUGGUAAGUUUUGAGCGUUCUUAACUGCAGAAAAAUCCUUCAUUUUUCUAUCUCUAGCUUUGUAGAAUAUUUUUCUACUUUUAAAAUACUACUAAAGUUGGAAAAC
rnacentral:lncRNA from 1 species